rfam:Brachypodium distachyon strain Bd21 chromosome 2, whole genome shotgun sequence.
UUUAUACUCCCUCUGCCCCAUAUUAAGUGACGAAAUAUUACAUGUAUCUAGAUGCUUUUUGGGUAUAGAUACAUCCAUAUUUGGGCAAAUUUGAGUCACUUAAUAUGGGACGGAGGGAGUAUUAU